CCUACGGGAGGCAGUAGUGAGGAAUCUUGGUCAAUGGGCGCGAGCCUGAACCAGCCAAGUAGCGUGAAGGAUGACUCCCCUACGGGUUGUAAACUUCUUUUAUAAAGGAAUACAGUGAGGCACGUGUGCCUUUUUGUCUGUACUUUAUGAAUAAGGAUCGGCUAACUCCGUGACAGCAGCCGCGGUAAUACGGAGGAUCCGAGCGUUAUCCGGAUUUAAUGGGUUUAAAGGGAGCGUAUAUGGGUUGUUAAGUCAGUUAUAAAAUUUUGCGGCUGCACCCUAAACUUGCAAUUGAUACUAGCAGUCUUGAGUACAGUUGAGGUAGGUGGAAUUCGUGGUGUAGCGGUGAAAUGCUUAGAUAUUACGAAGAACUCCGAUUGCGAAGGCAGCUUACUAAGCUGCCACUGACAUUGAUGCUCGAAAGUGUGGGGAUCAAACAGGAUUAGAUACCCGAGUAGUC
rnacentral:rRNA from 1 species